GACGAACGCUGGCGGCGUGCUUAACACAUGCAAGUCGAACGGAAAGGCCCUGCUUUUGUGGGGUGCUCGAUUGCCGAACGGGGGAGUAAAACGUGAGUAACCUGCCCUUGUCUUUGGGAUAACAUCAGGAAACUCCGGCUCAUACCGCAUAUGAGCUCCUGCUGCAUGGUGUGCGUUGGAAAGUUUCGGCCGUUGUGGAUGUACUCGCUGCUUAUCAGCUUGUUUGUGGGGUAGUGGCUUACCAAGGCUUUGACGGGUAGCCGGCCUGAGAGGGUGACCGGCCACACUGGGACUGAGGGACGGCACAGACUGCUAAGGGAGGCAGCAGUGGGGAAUAUUGCACAAGGGGCGGAAGCCUGAUGAAGAAAGGCCGCGUGCGGGAUGACGGCCUUAGGGGUGUAAACCGCUUUCGCCUGUGACGAAGCGUGAGUGACGGUAAUGGGUACAGAAGGCCCGGGUAAAUACGUG
rnacentral:rRNA from 1 species